rnacentral:rRNA from 16 species
GGAUGUGAUCAUACCAGCACUAAAGCACCGGAUCCCAUCAGAACUCCGAAGUUAAGCGUGCUUGGGCGAGAGUAGUAUUAGGAUGGGUGACCUCCUAGGAAGUCCUCGUGUUGCAUUUC